CAGCACUUACCAAGGCAGGCAAAUGAGAAGGGAUUUGGGUUCAGGGGGACUUUAAAGUUUGGAGAAGUUAAAGCCAGGCAAUGACUCAAAUCUGGUCCUUAUCUGUUUGAGAGCAGAUCUGUAGAUAGGAACCUGGCAGGAAAGGGAUCGCUUGAAGCAGCACCUCCACACUACAAUUCACCCACCAGAGAAGAGAAACUUCAUCCACCUAUCUCCAAGGAUGGUCAGAAAUGUCUCCUGGACUGUAACCACAGCAGGAUUCCAGGCCUUCUCUCAGGGGCCUGCCUCCUCUGCCUCAUCUCUGCUUGUUACAGACCCAUUUCAGCGUCACCUGGGGGAAGCAGCAGGAGCAGCUUCUCCCAGAAGGGAGCAGAAGUGGAGCUUUGCAGUGAAGGCCCUGUACCCCACAGAGAUGCUCCCAGACACCUGCCCUGUGGAAGAA